rnacentral:snRNA from 1 species
AUACUGUACAGACACAGGAGAUACCGUGAUCAACAAGGCGGUUCUCCGCGGACGAGAUUCAACCAUUACACUGAGGUUGGUUUGACUCUGCGAUUACCCUAAAAGUGGGUAAAUCGGUGGCCAAUUUCUUCAUAAAUUUAUUCGGUAGACUUAGUG